rnacentral:lncRNA from 1 species
GUAAUUGGAUUUCAGGGUUAACCAGCUUGCAGCAAAAAUAGAAAAGAACAGAAAGCCAUUGGAUAUUUCUGUUCUGGCUCAUCAGACACUGGAAGUUUAUCUCUGCUGAGAAUAGCACAGAAGAGGGCCUGCCUAAGGAUGGGUGAAGAAUCUGCUGAUGAGGACUCUAAUCAGUUUUGAGAGCAGGUGUGCCUUCCUAUCUCGCUCAUCUCUAG